AUCGCUUCUCGGCCUUUUGGCUAAGAUCAAAGUUUAGUUUCUGUUCUUAUCGAAUUAACCUUCGAUAGAGAUUCGAAUGAAUCUCGUUAAGGUUAUUUGAUUUUUGGAACCAGAUGGGUAUGUGGGCUUGCUCGCAACCCAUCACGGGUUGGCCCAGCGUUGCACUGCUGCUGGGAUCGGCCCACCCCCG
rfam:Angiostrongylus cantonensis strain Taiwan genome assembly, scaffold: ACAC_contig0000308